GCCGAAGUAGCUCCAAUCGGUAGAGCAGCUCACUCGUAAUGAGAAGGUUUGUGGGUUCGAGUCCCAUCUUCGGCACCA
rnacentral:tRNA from 1 species